CAGGCUGGUCGGGCGAUCGCGGUCCUGUGUUUACGGGAUCGAGGAAAGUCCGCACUCCAUAGAGCACGGCGUCGGAUAGCACCCGGGGCGGGGAGACUUCGUUUGGAGUCAACCUGCCGGAUAAGGGCCACAGAAACAAACUGCGCACCCACCCUUCGGGGCAGGGACGUGAAGGUGAAAAGGUGGUGUAAGAGACCACCGGCGCCCGCCGUAAUGCGGGCGGCCAGGUAACCCCCGCCGGGAGCAAGGCCAAGCAGGGACGAUAUCGUCUGCGGACGGAAGGAGGCGGCUCGCUUCCUUAUACGCCCCUCCUAGAGGGAGGAGCCAGUCCCGGGUAGGUCGCUUGAGCGGCGCGGCGACGCGCCGCCUAGAGAGAUGAUCGCACAGGCAGGGUGAAAUCCCCUUGCCAGACAGAAUGCGGCUUACAGACCAGCCGAGGCA
rnacentral:RNase_P_RNA from 1 species